rnacentral:rRNA from 1 species
CAGAGGGGGCAAGCGUUGUUCGGAAUUACUGGGCGUAAAGGGCGCGUAGGCGGCCUGUUAAGUCGAACGUGAAAUCCCUGGGCUCAACCCAGGAACUGCGUCCGAUACUGGCAGGCUUGAAUCCGGGAGAGGGAUGUGGAAUUCCAGGUGUAGCGGUGAAAUGCGUAGAUAUCUGGAGGAACACCGGUGGCGAAGGCGGCAUCCUGGACCGGUAUUGACGCUGAGGCGCGAAAGCCAGGGGAGCAAACGGGAUUAGAUACCCCGGUAGUCCUGGCCCUAAACGAUGAAUGCUUGGUGUGGCGGGUAUCGAUCCCUGCCGUGCCGAAGCUAACGCAUUAAGCAUUCCGCCUGGGGAUACGGUCGCAAGGCUG